rnacentral:sRNA from 1 species
CUUGGGAUAAGUAAACAGCGGGUGGAGCGAGGCCUACGGACCCAGGCCAGGUGGGAGUCUGCACUCUUCAAGGGGCCUGGGCUGCUGCUCACGGGUAUUAAAGAACUCCGCGUUGUUCAUGGCUGAGGCGAUGCAUUAGGAAGAUCCUGGACCUAGAGAACAAGUCCCCCGAACGCUGAGUUGGAGGCGGGACUUCGGGUGCGCGUUGGCGGGAGCAUGCUGGGGCUCUGGGGGCAGCGGCUCCCCGCGGCGUGGGUCCUGCUUCUGUUGCCUUUCCUGCCGCUGCUGCUGCUUGCAGCCCCCGCGCCCCACCGCGCGUCCUACAAGCCGGUCAUCGUGGUGCAUGGGCUCUUCGACAGCUCGUACAGCUUCCGCCACCUGCUGGAAUACAUCAAUGAGACACACCCCGGGACUGUGGUGACAGUGCUCGAUCUCUUCGAUGGGAGAGAGAGCUUGCGACCCCUGUGGGAACAGGUGCAAGGGUUCCGAGAGGCUGUGGUCCCCAUCAUGGCAAAGGCCCCUCAAGGGGUGCAUCUCAUCUGCUACUCGCAGGAUGGGACAGUAUGGAGACACGGACUACUUGAAGUGGCUGUUCCCCACCUCCAUGCGGUCUAACCUCUAUCGGAUCUGCUAUAGCCCCUGGGGCCAGGAAUUCUCCAUCUGCAACUACUGGCAUGAUCCCCACCACGAUGACUUGUACCUCAAUGCCAGCAGCUUCCUGGCCCUGAUCAAUGGGGAAAGAGACCAUCCCAAUGCCACAGCUUCUUUGGUUUCUAUGAUGCAAAUGAGA